UCCGUGAGCCCAAACAAAUCCUUUUUCCUUCACGACAUUUGAUCGGAUUUCUUAAGCACAGCUGUGCUAGAUUUCAGAGGCAGCACAAAGGGACAGAAGGCAGGAGGAGACCAGGGUGUGACCUCAGACAACAUGGUAACCGCGACAAGACGUCCAGGAAGAAGUGUUUGGAACUCACAUGUUAAUUUCUGCUGGCAUCUGAGGGAAAGGUUCAGUUGGGCGUCAUGGGUGAGUCUUCUACCAUAAAAGAGCCCAGAAGUCCAGAACACCUUAAUAAAUGUGCAAUGGAGACCUGAAGCUGUUAACUAAUGGCCGUGAAGAUACACGAAGCCUCUAUUAAAUGCCAGAUGUCCUCUCUGAUCUGCACAUUGUUCUGAGAUGGCUGUUAUGUCAUGCGGUGAGAACUGUGUACAGUGAUUUUACAGUGAGGAAACAAACCUGUGAUUUGAUGAAAGGAGAACCAUUUUAAAUUAUAGUUAUUAAAAUUAUAUAAAUCC
rnacentral:lncRNA from 1 species